UACGUAGGGUGCAAGCGUUAAUCGGAAUUACUGGGCGUAAAGCGUGCGCAGGCGGUUAUGUAAGACAGGUGUGAAAUCCCCGGGCUUAACCUGGGAACUGCAUUUGUGACUGCAUAGCUAGAGUACGGUAGAGGGGGAUGGAAUUCCGCGUGUAGCAGUGAAAUGCGUAGAUAUGCGGAGGAACACCGAUGGCGAAGGCGGCAUCCUGGACCAUUACUGACGCUGAGGCGCGAAAGCUAGGGGAGCAAACGGG
rnacentral:rRNA from 1 species